rnacentral:tRNA from 1 species
AGAGGAGAAGCCUAGUUGGCACCAAAAUUCCAUUUUGGAAAAGCAGGAUCUGCUGCCUUCUCUU